rnacentral:rRNA from 1 species
GGAUAUCACCUGCGGGGGUAGAGCACUGGAUGGGCUAGGGGGGCGCGAGCCUUACCAAACCUAACCAAACUCCGAAUACCGCAGAGUGCAGUCCGGCAGACAGACGGUGGGUGCUAAGGUCCAUCGUCGAGAGGGAAACAGCCCAGACCGCCAGCUAAGGUCCCCAAAUCACGGCUAAGUGGGAAAGGAUGUGGGAAGGCCAUGACAACCAGGAGGUUGGCUUAGAAGCAGCCAUCCUUUAAAGAAAGCGUAAUAGCUCACUGGUCUAGUUAAGCCGGCCUGCGCCGAAAAUGUAUCGGGGCUCAAGCCGUGUACCGAAGCUGCGGAUGUGAUCUUAUGAUCGCGUGGUAGCGGAGCGUUCCGUAAGCCUGCGAAGGGUGUCCGUGAGGCCGCCUGGAGGUAUCGGAAGUGAGAAUGCUGACAUGAGUAGCGACAAACAGUGUGAGAAACACUGUCGCCGAAAGUCCAAGGGUUCCUGCGCAAGGUUAAUCCACGCAGGGUGAGCCGGCCCCUAAGGCGAGGCCGAAAGG